GAAAUGCGAUACGUGGUGUGAAUUGCAGAAUCCCGUGAACCAUCGAGUCUUUGAACGCAAGUUGCGCCCAAGGGAUUCUCCCGAGGGCACGCCUGCCUCAUGGGCGUUAGAAGCCCAUCCACGCUCGGUUGCCUUGACUAAAGGCAGAAGAUGCGGACAUUGGCCCUCCGAGCCGCGAGGCGCGGUGGGCCUAAGUGUGCGGCCGUCGUACGUGGCCGGGAGCGGCGAGUGGUGGGCUUGGGCUGCGCGGCGAGUGGUGGGAACCCCUAACGAGGAGCAUGCCGUGGCGGCUUGGGCUGCGCGGCGCCUUCGGACCGAUACCCCAGGUCAGGCGGGGCUACCCGCCGAGUUUAA
rnacentral:misc_RNA from 1 species